rnacentral:rRNA from 1 species
GAUGAACGCUGGCGGCGUGCCUAAUACAUGCAAGUCGAGCGAACAGACGAGGAGCUUGCUCCUCUGACGUUAGCGGCGGACGGGUGAGUAACACGUGGAUAACCUACCUAUAAGACUGGGAUAACUUCGGGAAACCGGAGCUAAUACCGGAUAAUAUAUUGAACCGCAUGGUUCAAUAGUGAAAGACGGUUUUGCUGUCACUUAUAGAUGGAUCCGCGCCGCAUUAGCUAGUUGGUAAGGUAACGGCUUACCAAGGCGACGAUGCGUAGCCGACCUGAGAGGGUGAUCGGCCACACGGGAACUGAGACACGGUCCAUACUCCUACGGGAGGCAGCAGUAGGGAAUCUUCCGCAAUGGGCGAAAGCCUGACGGAGCAACGCCGCGUGAGUGAUGAAGGUCUUCGGAUCGUAAAACUCUGUUAUUAGGGAAGAACAAAUGUGUAAGUAACAAUGCACGUCUUGACGGUACCUAAUCAGAAAGCCACGGCUAACUACGUG